rnacentral:rRNA from 1 species
UUUAUGGAGAGUUUGAUCCUGGCUCAGAGUUAACGCUGGCGGUGUGCCUAACACAUGCAAGUCGUGCGGGGUAAAAGAGGGGGCUUGCACUUUCUUUUACCCAGCGGCGGACGGGUGAGUAACGCGUAGGUAACCUGCCCUCUCGCUGGGGAUAAGUUCCCGAAAGGGGAUCUAAUACCGAAUGAGGUUAAGGAACGAUGGUUUCUUAAUCAAAGGCUUUAAAAGCCGCGAGAGGAGGGGCCUGCGUCCUAUUAGCUAGUUGGUGAGGUAAUGGCUCACCAAGGCGACGAUGGGUAGCUGGCCUGAGAGGGCGGUCAGCCACACUGGGAUUGAGAUACGGCCCAGACUCCUACGGGAGGCAGCAGUGAGGAAUAUUGCGCAAUGGGCGAAAGCCUGACGCAGCGACACCGCGUGGGUGAUGAAGGCCUUCGGGUCGUAAAGCCCUGUCAGAGGGGACGAAGUUCUGACGGUACCCUCAGAGGAAGCCCCGGCCAACUACGUGCCAGCAGCCGCGGUAAUACGUAGGGGGCAAGCGUUACUCGGAAUCACUGGGCGUAAAGAGCUCGUAGGUGGGUAGAUAAGUCAUACAGUAAAGCCAACAGCUCAACUGUUGUUCUCUGUAUGAUACUGUUUGCCUUGAGGACAGGAGAGGGGAGUGGAAUUCCUGGUGUAGCGGUGAAAUGCGUAGAUAUCAGGAAGAACACCGGUGGCGAAGGCGUCUCCCUGGUCUGUUCCUGACACUGAGGAGCGAAAGCUGGGGGAGCGAACGGGAUUAGAUACCCCGGUAGUCCCAGCCGUAAACUAUGGGCACUAGGUGUAGGAGGUAUCAACCCUUUCUGUGCCGCAGCUAACGCAAUAAGUGCCCCGCCUGGGGAGUACGGCCGCAAGGUUAAAACUCAAAGGAAUUGACGGGGGCCCGCACAA